CCCUUAGAUGUCCGGGGCCGCACGCGCGCUACACUGAAGGAAUCAGCGUGGCUUUCUCCCUGACCCGAAAGGGUUGGGAAACCCGUUGAAUCUCCUUCGUGAUAGGGAUUGGGGCUUGAAAUUGUUCCCCAUGAACGAGGAAUUCCCAGUAAGCGCGAGUCAUAAGCUCGCGUUGAUUACGUCCCUGCCCUUUGUACACACCGCCCGUCGCACCUACCGAUUGAAUGUUUCGGUGAAGAUUCCGGAUAGGACUUUUUUGAUUUAUUUCAAUUUUGUCUUAAAAGCUAUCUAAACCUCAACAUUUAGAGGAAGGUGAAGUCGUAACA
rnacentral:rRNA from 1 species